rnacentral:rRNA from 1 species
UACAGAGGUCUCAAGCGUUGUUCGGAUUCAUUGGGCGUAAAGGGUGCGUAGGCGGCGCGGUAAGUCGGGUGUGAAAUCUCGGAGCUUAACUCCGAAACUGCAUUCGAUACUGCCGUGCUUGAGGACUGGAGAGGAGACUGGAAUUUACGGUGUAGCAGUGAAAUGCGUAGAGGUCGUAAGGAAGACCAGUGGCGAAGGCGAGUCUCUGGACAGUUGCUGACGCUGAGGCACGAAGGCCAGGGGAGCAAACGGG